AUUGAACGCUGGCGGAAUGCUUUACACAUGCAAGUCGAACGGCAGCACGAGGGCAACCCUGGUGGCGAGUGGCGAACGGGUGAGUAAUACAUCGGAACGUGCCCAGUCGUGGGGGAUAACUACGCGAAAGCGUAGCUAAUACCGCAUACGAUCUACGGAUGAAAGCGGGGGAUCGCAAGACCUCGCGCGAUUGGAGCGGCCGAUGGCAGAUUAGGUAGUUGGUGGGGUAAAGGCGCACCAAGCCUGCGAUCUGUAGCUGGUCUGAGAGGACGACCCGCCAGACUGGGACUGAGACACGGCCCAGACUCCUACGGGAGGCAGCAGUGGGGAAUUUUGGACAAUGGGCGCAAGCCUGAUCCAGCCAUGCCGCGUGGAGGAUGAAGGCCCUCGGGUUGUAAACUGCUUUUGUACGGAACGAAACGCGCUGAGUUAAUACCUCGGCGUAAUGACGGUACCGUAAGAAUAAGCACCGGCUAACUACGUGCCAGCCGCCGCCGUAACAC
rnacentral:rRNA from 1 species